UACGGGGGGGGCAAGCGUUGUUCGGAAUUACUGGGCGUAAAGGGCUCGUAGGCGGCCAACUAAGUCGGAUGUGAAAUCCCCGGGCUCAACCUGGGAACUGCAUUUGUGACUGCAUGGCUAGAGUGCGGCAGAGGGGGAUGGAAUUCCGCGUGUAGCAGUGAAAUGCGUAGAUAUGCGGAGGAACACCGAUGGCGAAGGCAAUCCCCUGGGCCUGCACUGACGCUCAUGCACGAAAGCGUGGGGAGCAAACAGG
rnacentral:rRNA from 1 species